rnacentral:misc_RNA from 1 species
AACCUAGCACACCUGCGGUGUGUACCUGCGGAAGGAUCAUUAAAAAGAGUGUGUACCCCUCUGUAAAAUGAGUGGGUUACCUCCCGUCCUUUGUUGACCUCUUAGGAGGUUAUUUUGAACUUUCUGCUUCGGUGGGGUUAAACCUACCGGAACACCCUCAAAUUCUUAUCAUUUAAAAAUUGUUCAGUCUGAUUUUUGUUAAUAAAAACAAAAAACUUUUAGCAACGGAUCUCAGAUCGG